rnacentral:rRNA from 1 species
AGGAAUAUUGGUCAAUGGGCGGGAGCCUGAACCAGCCAAGUCGCGUGAGGGAUGACGGCCCUAUGGGUUGUAAACCUCUUUUGCCGGGGAGCAAAGUGCCGCACGUGUGCGGUUGGGAGGGUACCCGGAGAAAAAGCAUCGUCUAACUCCGUGCCAGCAGCCGCGGUAAUACGGAGGAUGCGAGCGUUUUCCGGAUUUAUUGGGUUUAAAGGGUGCGUAGGCGUACGCUUAAGUCAGCGGUAAAAUUGCGGGGCUCAACCUCGUCGAGCCGUUGAAACUGGGUGUCUUGAGUGGGCGAGAAGUACGCGGAAUGCGUGGUGUAGCGGUGAAAUGCAUAGAUAUCACGCAGAACCCCGAUUGCGAAGGCAGCAUACCGGCGCCCUACUGACGCUGAGGCACGAAAGUGCGGGGAUCAAA